rnacentral:lncRNA from 1 species
AUGAUUUCUAUAAUGGAAUCAAUCAUCUCUACAAUGAAGACAACACUUCAGAAAAUGUGGAUUCUGUGUGCAACACUAAUUUAUCAAGGAGAGAAGCUGCUUUUCUCGCAUAUCUCCAGCACCUCGCACAGUUGUCACCACAUCAAAACUGUCUGGGAAUCCAUAUGCACACAUAUUUUCAAAAAAUCCAUUAAGAGGGACACAAAUUCUUCUUCGCUUUGAUUCAACACAUACUCAAACUAAAACAAGUGUCGAAAGCACAAAACCUCAACUGGGUUUCCCCCUGUACCUGGACAGAAACCUCGAGCACCACUGGUGUUCAUGACUGGGCAGCAGCAGCAAGGUCUGGCCUGGGGAAGCACCAGGCCCGGCACAGCUUAGGCCAGGCCCCUUUCAGAAAAAGCUGAUUUCUCUGGCACUGGAGACUGAGCCCCCUCUAACCUCGGAGCCCAAAGGACAGAGCCCUGUUCUUCCAACCAAAACAAGCCUAUGCCAUUCAAUCAAGCCCUGGACUAGGACGGGGGCAGAGCUUUCUGGCCCUCCCUGGACUCCCUCUCUUGCACAGGCAGCAAGGACAGAGACCUUGCCUUUCCCACUGCAUUGGAAGAACCAUGUCUCCCAGGCUUCUGGGACGUUGGGAAAGGCAAUGGGCUUUGCUUGAAGUUGGACAAGUCUGGAUAAGUGGCCCAGCAGCCUUGCAUCUUGCUACAUAAGUCAGGCAAAACAGGAGAACUCAGGCUUGGCAGACUCCCCAGCAUGCUGUGGGCAUUGCCAACUUGAGAAUGAUGCCCAGAUGGCAGGUCUGCCUGAGUGCUGGAUGAUUGGAAUGUCAGCAGGCUGGGUUUGAAGCGCCCUGCCAAAGUAGGCCAUUGGCCUUCCCUCUGGGGUGCAAACAUCUGAAAGACAA